UUUUUGUUGCAGUAAAUUGACAAACAGAAUCGCUCCAGGACCAUGGAAGCUGAUCAAGAACAUGAAUGUUCCACAACAGUUGACUGGCUCUGUGGACUGUGGGAUCUUCAUGCUGAUGUAUGCUCUGCACAUGGUCUUUGAGGCACCCUUUGAUUUUACAGCUUCGGAUUUUCCUGUAAUUCGAAAAUGGUGGUGCCUUAUCUCAUGGAGAAUUUUGCCA